rnacentral:snRNA from 1 species
UUCAACCGCUUUUCACGCAAGU